rnacentral:rRNA from 1 species
CUACGGGAUGCUCCAGUCGCGAAUCUUUUACAAUGCACGCAAGUGUGAUAAAGCGAACCAAAGUGCUUUUCUUUUUGAAAAGCUUUUCCUCGCUGUAAAAAGGCGGGGGAAUAAGGAGUGGGUAAGACCGGUGCCAGCCGCCGCGGUAAUACCGGCAGUUCAAGUUGCAGCCAGCAUUAUUGGGUCUAAAACAUCCGUAGCUUGUUUGAUAAGUUUCUUGUGAAAUUUCACAUCUCAAAUGUGGAGCGUGCAAGAAAUACUAUCAGGCUAGAGACCGGUAGAUGUGAGAAGUACGCCCGAGGUAAUGGUUAAUUAUGUUAAUCUUGGGUGGACUAACGAUGAGCGAAGGCAUCUUACAAGGACGGAUCUGACAGUGAGGGAUGAAGGCCAGGGGCGCAAAACGGAUUAGAUACCCUCGUAGUC